UUAGGGGGCCUGAGAGGGUGAUCCCCCCACACUGGUACUGAGACACGGGCCCAGACUCCUACGGGAGGCAGCAGUGAGGAAUAUUGGACAAUGGGUUAGCGCCUGAUCCAGCCAUCCCGCGUGAAGGACGACGGCCCUUAUGGGUUGUAAACUUCUUUUGUACAGGGAUAAACCUAUUUACGUGUAAAUAGCUGAAGGUACUGUACGAAUAAGCACCGGCUAACUCCGUGCCAGCAGCCGCGGUAAUACGGAGGGUGCAAGCGUUAUCCGGAUUUAUUGGGUUUAAAGGGUCCGUAGGCGGAUCUGUAAGUCAGUGGUGAAAUCUCACAGCUUAACUGUGAAACUGCCAUUGAUACUGCAGGUCUUGAGUAAGGUAGAAGUGGCUGGAAUAAGUAGUGUAGCGGUGAAAUGCAUAGAUAUUACUUAGAACACCAAUUGCGAAGGCAGGUCACUAUGUCUUAACUGACGCUGAUGGACGAAAGCGUGGGGAGCGAACAGGAUUAGAUACCCUGGUAGUCCACGCUGUAAACGAUGCUAACUCGUUUUUGGGUUUUCGGAUUCAGAGACUAAGCGAAAGUGAUAAGUUAGCCACCUGGGGAGUACGAACGCAAGUUUGAAACUCAAAGGAAUUGACGGGGGCCCGCACAAGCGGUGGAUUAUGUGGUUUAAUUCGAUGAUACGCGAGGAACCUUACCAAGGCUUAAAUGGGAAUUGAUCGGUUUAGAAAUAGACCUUCCUUCGGGCAAUUUUCAAGGUGCUGCAUGGUUGUCGUCAGCUCGUGCCGUGAGGUGUUAGGUUAAGUCCUGCAACGAGCGCAACCCCUGUUACUAGUUGCUACCAUUAAGUUGAGGACUCUAGUAAGACUGCCUACGCAAGUAGAGAGGAAGGUGGGGAUGACGUCAAAUCAUCACGGCCCUUACGCCUUGGGCCACACACGUAAUACAAUGGCCGGUACAGAGGGCAGCUACACAGCGAUGUGAUGCAAAUCUCGAAAGCCGGUCUCAGUUAGGAUUGGAGUCUGCAAC
rnacentral:rRNA from 1 species